rnacentral:rRNA from 1 species
CAGUCGCCGCGGUAAUACGGAGGGGGCUAGCGUUGUUCGGAAUUACUGGGCGUAAAGCGCACGUAGGCGGUUUUGUAAGUCAGAGGUGAAAGCCCGGAGCUCAACUCCGGAACUGCCUUUGAGACUGCAUCACUUGAACGUCGGAGAGGUGAGUGGAAUUCCGAGUGUAGAGGUGAAAUUCGUAGAUAUUCGGAAGAACACCAGUGGCGAAGGCGGCUCACUGGACGACUGUUGACGCUGAGGUGCGAAAGCGUGGGGAGCAAACAGGAUUAGAUACCCCAGUAGUCCCUGUCUCUUAUAC